rnacentral:rRNA from 1 species
AGAGUUUGAUCAUGGCUCAGGAUGAACGCUGGCGGUAUGCUUAACACAUGCAAGUCGAACGGUGUCUUCGGACAUAGUGGCGGACGGGUGAGUAACGCGUGAGAAUCUACCAUCAGGUUCGGGACAACAGUUGGAAACGACUGCUAAUACCGAAUGGACCGAAAGGGGAAAGAUUAAUUGCCUGAUGAUGGGCUCGCGUCUGAUUAGCUAGUUGGUGGGGUAAAGGCUUACCAAGGCGGCGAUCAGUAACUGGUCUGAGAGGAUGACCAGUCACACUGGGACUGAGGCACGGCCCAGACUCCUACGGGAGGCAGCAGUGGGGAAUUUUCCGCAAUGGGCGAAAGCCUGACGGAGCAAUACCGCGUGAGGGAGGAAGGCUCUUGGGUUGUAAACCUCUUUUCUCAGGGAAGAACAAAAUGACGGUACCUGAGGAAUCAGCAUCGGCUAACUCCGUGCCAGCAGCCGCGGUAAUACGGAGGAUGCAAGCGUUAUCCGGAAUGAUUGGGCGUAAAGCGUCCGCAGGUGGCUAUGCAAGUCUGCUGUCAAAGCCUGGGGCUUAACCCUAGAGAGGCAGUGGAAACUGAAUGGCUAGAGUACGGUAGGGGUAGAGGGAAUUCCCGGUGUAGCGGUGAAAUGCGUAGAGAUCGGGAAGAACACCAGUGGCGAAAGCGCUCUGCUAGGCCUGUACUGACACUGAGGGACGAAAGCUAGGGGAGCGAAUGGGAUUAGAUACCCCAGUAGUCCUAGCUGUAAACGAUGGAUACUAGGCGUUGCUUGUAUCGACCCAAGCAGUGCCGUAGCUAACGCGUUUAAGUAUCCCGCCUGGGGAGUACGCCGGCAACGGUGAAACUCAAAGGAAUUGACGG